AGAGAGAGACAUGCGCGCAUAUCAAUAAGCGGAGGAAAAGAAACUAACAAGGAUUCCCUUAGUAACGGCGAGUGAAGCGGGAAGAGCUCAGACUUUGAAAUCUUCAAGGUUCUACCUUGACGAAUUGUAGUUUAUAGAAGUGUUUUCUGUUAGUGGAGUGGUAAAAGUUCUUUGGAAUAGGACAUCAUAGAGGGUGAGAAUCCCGUAUUUGGUCAUUCCUCCUAGCGUUGUGAUACACUUUCAACGAGUCGGAUUGUUUGGGAAUGCAGUCCAAAAUGGGUGGUAAAUUUCAUCUAAAGCUAAAUAUUGGCGAGAGACCGAUAGCGAACAAGUACCGUGAGGGAAAGAUGAAAAGAACUUUGAAAAGAGAGUUAAACAGUACGUGAAAUUGUCAAAAGGGAAGCGUCUGACACCAGUGUUGUUUUUCCGAAAAUCAAUUACGAAUGUUUUAUUUUUGAGGAGUUAUGACUUCAUCGGCUUGACUCCUUUCUUUACUGAAACUUUCUUAAUGCACUUUUCGGUUAACAAGUCAACAUCAAUUUCUUUUGUUGUAAAAGGGUAUGAGGAAGGUGGCUUUCUUUUCGGAGAAAGUGUUUAUAGCCUUGUAGCCUCUGCAAUCGGAGAGAUUGAGGUCUGCAGCGUAGAUCCUUCGGGGUUAGAUACGUUUGUGCUAAGUUAUAGCUUUUCAUAGACAACUUGUUGACUAUGUUUAGUCUUGUAGCUUACUCGCUGAUGCUAUUUUACCUACGCUUAGGAUGUUGAUAGUCACAGCGUGUAC
rnacentral:rRNA from 1 species